rnacentral:rRNA from 1 species
CAUCAUGGCCCUUACGACCAGGGCUACACACGUGCUACAAUGGUCGGUACAAAGGGUUGCUACCUAGCGAUAGGAUGCUAAUCUCAAAAAGCCGAUCGUAGUCCGGAUUGGAGUCUGCAACUCGACUCCAUGAAGUCGGAAUCGCUAGUAAUCGCGGAUCAGAAUGCCGCGGUGAAUACGUUCCCGGGCCUU